rnacentral:piRNA from 1 species
UCCCAGCACUCUGGAAAUGGAAGUAUAUGGU